UGCCAGCAGCCGCGGUAAUACGGAGGGUCCGAGCGUUAAUCGGAAUUACUGGGCGUAAAGCGCACGCAGGCGGUUUGUUAAGCUAGAUGUGAAAGCCCUGGGCUCAACCUGGGAAUUGCAUUUAGAACUGGCAGGCUAGAGUUUUGGAGAGGGGAGUGGAAUUCCAGGUGUAGCGGUGAAAUGCGUAGAUAUCUGGAGGAACAUCAGUGGCGAAGGCGACUCCCUGGUCAGUAACUGACGCUCAUGUGCGAAAGUGUGGGUAGCGAACAGGAUUAGAUA
rnacentral:rRNA from 1 species